UCUGUAGUAAACACUUCAACAUGAACAAGUCUUUCCUUCUCUUCUUGGUACUCGCUAUCAUUGCGAUGUCCAACGUCAUAUUUGUAGCAGCGAACUGCGACGAGAAUGACUGCGAUGGUGAUGGUGACAGCUCCGGAAAAUUGAUCGACCUUGGUUUAUGCCUCGAUGUAUUGUAAUCGAUAUUUCAUCAAAUCGAUUAUUACUAUUCAUUUAUUUCUUUAUGUAUUUUUGGCCAAUAAAUUUAUAUAAUUAUUAAUAUUGUUGUUUUUAUUACUUAAGACAAGUAAUUGUAUAAAAUACCUCAAUUAUUUUCUCAACUGUCGCCAUAUGAGACACAGUACAAAGUUCAUCGUGUCUCGCUCAGAUCUACAUACCGGCAAACGACAAGUUUCGAUUUCGAUAUCAGCCAUGAUCAUACCACUGCAGCUACCCCAACAUGUAAAGAUGUCCAACAUCAUGUUUGUAGCAGCGGACUGCGGUCCGAGUGACUGCGGGGAUAACAGCUGCGGAUCCGGUCAAUUGGUUGAUGUUGAUUUAGGCGUCGACGUAUUGUAAUCGAUUUUCUAUGAAAUCGAUUACUAUUUCACAUUAUUUAUUUUUUGGUAACAGUAAAACAAUGUCCUAAAAUAUUUUGAAUACGUUUUCUUUUAUGUAUUUUUGGCUAAUAAACUUAUGUUAUUAUUAAAUGUUGCUGUUUGAUUUCAUAAUGGUAACAUCAAUCCAGAUUUAUACUCACUUGUACUGAAUAAUACUGAGUUUUAUAUAAUGUACAAGGGUGCGGGUUUGAAAACUACUAACGGCAAUUACUAAUGUGACUUUUUUAGAGUUAAAUGUACUUUCUAAGAUAAUUUAGACAUCACUAACAAACGGUGAAGAAAAACAUCGUGAUGAAACUUUUUUUUUUUUGCUUAUAAACUUCCUUCCCCUUGCGCGGAAAGGCUUUUAGUCAACAGUGGCCACUUAUAGGCUCUUGACUUGUGAUGUGAUACAAAUAUGAAU